UUACUUACCUGGCAGGGGAAAUCCCCUUCUUGGCCUUGAAUGGCUCAAUGUAGUUGAGGGUGAAGGCCCGUCCCUUGCACUGCGGGCAGGUUGACCCCUGCAAGAGUCUACAAAUGCCUCCAGAUGCUAGGAUCUCGGCUACACAAUUAGUGGUGCUGGGGGCUUGUUUUCGGGCUCUCCUUCC
rnacentral:snRNA from 14 species